rnacentral:rRNA from 1 species
CCCCUAGUAACGGCGAGUGAACAGGGACGAGCCCAGCACCGAAGCCUUUAGCUAUUUGGCUAUUUGGCAAUGUGGUGUUCAGGUUGGUUCGCAGAAGCACUGCUCCACUCCGAGUCCAGCAAUGAGUACGGUAUCCUGGACAUGGCCCACGGAGGGUGAAAGGCCCGUAGGGGUGGAGAUCUCUGGCCAGUGCCUCUCUGGAUUGACCUUGGAGUCGGGGUGUUUGUGAAUGCAGCA